rfam:Drosophila persimilis strain MSH-3 cont1.013155, whole genome shotgun sequence.
CGUUUUCUGCUUUGUGCGGUGCUUCUUUCGGUGUCUGAAUAUCCGUUAUGGAAAAUUCAUCAUUAAAGUUUUAAUAUUUUAACAAUAUUAUAAUAAUAGUUACUUAUAGUUUAUUCAAAUUAUUAUGCUUGCAUUUUAACAUAGAAUAAAUGUCAUUAAUUUGAUAAAGUGUUGAUAAAUUAAAAUUAAUACAGUGCGUUAAUUUUUCGAAAUUAUAUAUUGGCUUAAUUAUCAUUGAUUUUUGUGUUUAUUAUAUGCAUUUGUAUGAUUAACAAUGCGAAAGAUUCAGGAUACCUUCGAGACCCGUCGUGAAACACGGACCAAAGGAGUCUAACAUAUGUGCAAGUUAUUGGGAGAUAAAACUAAUAGCGUAAUUAACUUGACUAAUAAUGGUAUUAGUUUUUUAACUAUUUAUAGAUAAUUAACACAAUCCUGGGGCGUUCUAUAUAGUUAUGUAUAAUAAUAUUUAUAGUAUUUAUGCCUCUAACUGGAACGUACCCUGAGCAUAUAUGCUGUGACCCGAAAGAUGGUGAACUAUACUUGAUCAGGUUGAAGUCAGGGGAAACACUGAUGGAACACCGAAACAGUUCUGACGUGCAAAUCGAUUGUCAGAAUUGAGUAUAGGGGCGAAAGACCAAUCGAACCAUCUAGUAGCUGGUUCCUUUCGAAGUUUCCCUCAGGAUAGCUGGUGCAUUUUAAUGUUAUAUAAAAUAAUCUUAUCUGGUAAAGCGAAUGAUUAGAGGCCUUAGGGUCGAAACGAUCUUAACCUAUUCUCAAACUUUAAAUGGGUAAGAACCUUAACUUUCUCGAUAUGAAGUUUAAGGUUAUGAUAUAAUGUGCCCAGUGGGCCACUUUUGGUAAGCAGAACUGGCGCUGUGGGAUGAACCAAACGUAAUGUUACGGUGCCCAAAUAAACAACUCAUGCAAAAACCAUGAAAGGCGUUGGUUGCUUAAAACAGCAGGACGGUGAUCAUGGACGUCGAAAUCCGCUAAGGAGUGUGUAACAACUCACCUGCCGAAGCAACUAGCCCUUAAAAUGAAUGGCGCUUAAGUUGUAUACCUAUACAUUACCGCUAAAGUAGAUGAUUUAUAUUACUUGUGAUAUAAAUUUUGAAACUUUAGUGAGUAGGAAGGUACAAUGGUAUUUAUUUAUUUAUUAAAUUAACAAAUUAGCUGUUAAUAAUGGUACUUAGUUACUAAAGGCGGAAAAAGAGAAGUUAAAAGUUAGCUAAAUUUAAGUGAUUAUAAAUAUUGCAUGCAAUUAGUUUAAGAGACAGUUCAGGGGAUAGGGUUUGGCAGAGGGAGUUAUAAUUAUGGCACAAAUCCCUAAAAGGUGCAUGAUCAGCAUAAUUAGACCUACAUAUGGGUAGACGGAUAGGCCUAGAAGUACGGGUAGGUCUAGAUGGAACGGGCAAGUCAAUCUGACCCAAGAGAGUUUGGGAGUCAACAGUCCCGAGAAGGAGCUUGUGCACGAACAUCACGCCAUUGCAUAUUCUGCGAUGGUGCAACGACGGCAGGUCAAUAAGAUUUAAGGGUGGCAAGAUUCUACCCGAGUCCCAGUUAAAGUUCCGAAGGGCAAAAAUUAAAAAUUGCUUUUGCAGUGUUAAAACACAUCUUAUGAUCAAAAAGGACUCCGAGGUCAUUUGAACUCGAAAUUCGCUCAAGGACAUGAUUUCCUAGAACAUAUGAGACAAAAUGAGGAGCACGACGGUAAAAUGUCAUAAGUUUGCAUUUGGAAAGGUUCAGAAAAAGAAGAUUAGUUGAACACCACAAUAGUAGUUCACUUAGAUCAAGUAGAAGGCGUGUGUGCAAAUACCAAUCAGAGUAAGAAAGACAGAUUUUAACAUCAUCAGCAUACAUUAGUGUAGUAGAGUAUGUUAUAACUUGAGGAAGGUCAUUCACAAAUAAAAUAAACAGAAGCGGGCCCAGAUGACCUCCCUGUGCCACACCUGAAGUAACAUUAUUUGACAACAGUAUUUGACAACAUGUUAGAAAACAAAACACGUUGAGUACGGUUAGAGAGAUAGGACAAAACCCAAUCUAGAAGAUUCGUUGGGAACCCUAAUAAAGAGAGCUUGUGAAUAAGCAGAGCAUGGUUCACAGAAUCGAAUGCCUUGCUGAAGUCCGUAAAAACUACAUCGGUCUGCAAACCAAUUUGAAAACCACGGUGGAUUAGGUUAGAAAACUCAAGAAGGUUAGUCGAUGUUGAACGAUGUCUGAAAAAACCGUGUUGCGACGGAGAUAUCAAACUGCAAAAAAGAUGUUGCAGUUGCCGGAAAAGGAAAAGCGUUUGACUUGCACUUAGAGUUAACGAACGAAUAUAAUUUUUUAGGAUCACUACGAAAGUUACUACUACAUUGUGAAAGGUAAUGAUUAUAACACUGACUAUUAACGGCAAGGAACAGAGAGCGAGCGGAGGAGUAUAGAGCUAAGGCCGACGUGGAGCCCGACUUCUGGUACUUUUUAUAGAGCCGGGAUUUAUUAUUUGUUAAGUAUGACAAAUACUUGGAGAACCAGGGAGGCUUGGACGAUACAGGUACAGUGAUAUCUGGAACAAAAGUAUUAAGGGCGGAGUAAAUAGAACUAUAAAACGAGUUAACAGUUGCAGAUAGAAGUAGAAGUGUUUGGCGUAAGCCUUCAUGGAGCUGCCAUUGGCACAGAUCUUGGUGGUAGUAGCAAAUAAUCGAAUGAGACCUUGGAGGACUGAAGUGGAGAAGGGUUUCGUGUGAACAGUGGUUGAUCACGAGUUAGUCGGUCCUAAGUUCAAGGCGAAAGCCGAAAAUUUUCAAGUAAAAAAUCAGUGAGUAAUAUUGUCAAAUCUUCUAUGAUUUUUAAAUACUUGAAUAAUUUUGAACGAAAGGGAAUACGGUUCCAUCCGUUUUUAUUUUAUUUUAUUUUUAUCCGUUUGUUAUUAAAUAUGGGCCUCGUGCUCAUCCUGGCAACAGGAACGACCAUAAAGAAGCCGUCGAGAGAUAUCGGAAGAGUUUUCUUUUCUGUUUUAUAGCCGUACUACCAUGGAAGUCUUUCGCAGAGAGAUAUGGUAGAUGGGCUAGAAGAGCAUGACAUAUACUGUUGUGUCGAUAUUUUCUCCUCGGACCUUGAAAAUUUAUGGUGGGGACACGCAAACUUCUCAACAGGCCGUACCAAUAUCCGCAGCUGGUCUCCAAUGUGUAGAGUCUCUAGUCAAUAGAAUAAUGUAGGUAAGGGAAGUCGGCAGAUUAGAUCCGUAACUUCGGGAUAAGGAUUGGUUUUGAAGAUUGAGAUAGUCGGGCUUGAUUGGGAAACAAUAACAUUGUUUAUGUGCUCGUUCUGGGUAAAUAGAGUUUCUAUCAUUUAUGGUAGUUACUUGUUCCCCGGAUAGUGUACGUUACGUAGCCAAUUGUGGAACUUUCUUGCUAACAUUUUUAAGAAUACUCAUUGGGUUAAACCAGUUAGUUCUUAUUAAUUAUAACGAUUAUCAAUUAACAAUCAAUUCAGAACUGGCACGGACUUGGAAAUCCCACUGUCUAAUUAAAACAAAGAAUUGCGAUGGCCCUAGCGGGUGUUGACACAAUGUGAUUUCUGCCCAGUGCUCUGAAUGUCAAAGUGAAGAAAUUCAAGUAAGCGCGGGUCAACGGCGGGAGUAACAAUGACUCUCUUAAGGAAGAUAUGGAUCUGAAUAAUAGAAGGGGAUUUAUUCCGUAAUUCGUUAAUCGUAAAAAUCAGAUCAAGUUGAUUCAAGACCUCCUCGUGGUAUCUUCUGGAUGGUAUUAGACUGAAUGUAUUUAGUCUAAUAGUAAAUAACUUGAACAGCGAGACAGUCCCUGGGGUUGCCAUCCCCUUGGACGGUUCAUUUUGAUUGGUACAAAUAUGGAAAAUAUAACGCCUCGGAUGACAAUAUCGAUUUCGUUGACGAACCAAAUCCCUACGGUUUCUAGCCUAGGGGCCCAAUCUGAACAUAGUGCACAGGUUAACCCAAACCGUGGUUACCAAUGCACGAUAUGUGAAGAGUCUUUCCGUAGCGAAAGCGGACUAGGCGUUCAUAUGUCACGUCGACACAAUGACGAGUUUGAUCAACUUCGUC